rnacentral:tRNA from 1 species
GGAUAGAUAUCCCGUAGCAGGUAGCGGUUCUGACUGUAAAUCAGAUGUCUAACGACUCGGAUGGUUCGAGUCCAUCUCUAUCCACCA